UCCGGUUUGGCACCGGCAGUCUCCCAUGAGUCCCCGGCAUUACCCGCUGGCAACAUGGAACAGGGGUUGCGCUCGUUGCGCCACUUAAGGCAACACCUCACGGCACGAGCUGACGACAGCCAUGCAGCACCUGUGCAGGCUCCCGAAGGAGCACCGGCUUUCACCGGUUUCACCCUGCAUGUCAAGCCCUGGUAAGGUGGGGAUGACGUUACGGUCUUACU
rnacentral:misc_RNA from 1 species